rnacentral:tRNA from 1 species
GGAGAAUUACUCAAGAGGCUGAAGAGGACGGUUUGCUAAAUCGUUAGGUCGGGAAACCGGCGCGGGGGUUCGAAUCCCUCAUUCUCCG